CAGUAGCCGCGGUAACACGGAGGGAGCUAGCGUUGUUCGGAAUUACUGGGCGUAAAGCGCACGUAGGCGGUUAUUCAAGUCAGAGGUGAAAGCCCGGGGCUCAACCCCGGAACUGCCUUUGAAACUAGAUGACUAGAAUCUUGGAGAGGUCAGUGGAAUUCCGAGUGUAGAGGUGAAAUUCGUAGAUAUUCGGAAGAACACCAGUGGCGAAGGCGACUGACUGGACAAGUAUUGACGCUGAGGUGCGAAAGCGUGGGGAGCAAACAGGAUUAGAUACCCCAGUAGUCCCUGUCUCUUAUAC
rnacentral:rRNA from 1 species